rnacentral:rRNA from 1 species
UACAGAGGUGCCGAGCGUUAGGCGGAAUCACUGGGCUUAAAGCGUGUGUAGGCGGAUGCCUAAGUACCUUGUGAAAUCCCACAGCUCAACUGUGGAACUGCUUGGUAUACUGGGUGUCUUGAGCCACUUAGGGGUUACCGGAACAAAUGGUGGAGCGGUGAAAUGCGUAGAUAUCAUUUGGAACGCCAAUGGUGAAACCAGGUAACUGGGAGUGUGCUGACGCUGAGACACGAAAGCCAGGGGAGCGAACGGG